GAGCACGUAGGUGGGUUUGUAAGUCAGAUGUGAAAGCCUUCUGUUCAAAGGAAGAACGGCAUCUGAAACUGCAGAUCUUGAGUGUAGGAGGGGAGAGUGGAACUUCUGGUGGAGCGGUGAAAUGCGUAGAUAUCGGAAGGAACGUCGGCGGCGAAAGCGACUCUCUGGCCUAUUACUGACACUGAGUGUGCGAAAGUUAGGGGAGCAAACGGGAUUAGAUACCCCGGUAGUCCUAACCGUAAACGAUGGGCACUAAGUAGAGGGGU
rnacentral:rRNA from 1 species